rnacentral:rRNA from 1 species
ACACUCCUGCGGGAGGCAGCAGUGGGGAAUUUUGGACAAUGGGCGAAAGCCUGAUCCAGCCAUGCCGCGUGCAGGAUGAAGGCCUUCGGGUUGUAAACUGCUUUUGUACGGAACGAAACGGCCUUUUCUAAUAAAGAGGGCUAAUGACGGUACCGUAAGAAUAAGCACCGGCUAACUACGUGCCAGCAGCCGCGGUAAUACGUAGGGUGCAAGCGUUAAUCGGAAUUACUGGGCGUAAAGCGUGCGCAGGCGGUUAUGUAAGACAGUUGUGAAAUCCCCGGGCUCAACCUGGGAACUGCAUCUGUGACUGCAUAGCUAGAGUACGGUAGAGGGGGAUGGAAUUCCGCGUGUAGCAGUGAAAUGCGUAGAUAUGCGGAGGAACACCGAUGGCGAAGGCAAUCCCCUGGACCUGUACUGACGCUCAUGCACGAAAGCGUGGGGAGCAAACAGGAUUAGAUACCCCAGUAGUCCCAU